rnacentral:misc_RNA from 1 species
GUGAAUCAUCGAAUUUUUGAACGCAAAUUGCACUCUCUUCGGAGAGUAUGCCUGUGUGAGGGUCAGUAUUAAUAAAAAUCGUUGUGUUGCUUCUUUGUGACGCUCCGGAGUUUGGGUCUUCUUAAUAUCCUUUAGGGUUUAAGAGGCUUAAAAUUGACUUUUUGUGCUCAUUUUAUUUGUACAUUAGUUCUUUUUUUUAUUCGUCUGUCUUAAUGCGCACAGUCCAAUUAGAUGCGACCAUUUCGUGUGGU